AAGAAGAUAUUCAGACUCAGGCAUGUGCAGAGGAAAGGCCAUGUGAAGGCACCAUCUACAAGCCAGGCAGAUGAGAUACAGAAGUUCUACCCAACCCACCUCCUCACCCCAUUAACAAUAGCCCACCUGACUUCUAUCCUAGCUCCUUCAGUCUCUGGUGUGGCUGAAGACCAAGACCAUACAAGGAUCCUCUAAAGCGUCAGCACCAGAUUGGGACUGGCGAGGGACACAGCACGAAUGACUGAGUAGCUUCAGGAACUCAGUCUCUCCACCCUGUGGAUAGCCCCUGUUGGACUACGCAGCCUGUAUCUUACAAAGGACGAUUAGUCGCAGGCUGGGCUCUCGGAGUGUUGAGAUAUGGAUUAAGAAUACUCCGUUCAGUGAUGUUGAAUGACCAAUUGAAUAUUUUUGAGUGGGCAGAUGGCAAGAUCCUGGAAGUGUAAAACAGCUACAAGAAACAAGAUGAUUCAGACAGAAGGAGUAUGAAUAAAUCCUGGCUGGUCAUCUCAUUAUUAAUCAAGAUACCACCACCCACCCUCUACCGCCUUAGCUGGGCUGGCGCAGGCUUGAAAAAAACGUACCAUCACCCGUGUGAUGUUUCUGAAGAAAGCCGGAGAAGCAGCAACAGUUGGUGCCUUUGAUUAGCAGAACAUUUCAAUCCCCACCCCAUCUUUUCUCCAAAUAGUCGUUCACAAUGCGAGUGCUCAGCCCCACUGUUUGCUCGGUUCAAUAGAUCUGGGGGCAAGGGUUAUGCCUUCCUGUUACCAUGGGGCUGGCAGAGAGAACUGGAGGCCAGUGAUCUUAGUCUGAGCUUCAGGAUCAUGGCUAGCUCCCUACAACUGUCCCCAGAUGUUCCCAAUUCAACCUGCAGUGCAGAUUACGUAAUCAUCUCUUCACGACGCAUGAGCAUAGGGGGAACUCUGGGCUCCAAAGAGUUAAAUUGUCAUCUGCAAUGGAA